rnacentral:lncRNA from 1 species
AUCAGUAAAAUGCUAGAAUCAAUAACAAUAAUGAAAUUUAAAAUAAACUAAUCAACUCACAAGUAAUUGCACUGUUACGCCAAAAAUACACAAAGUUUUGGAAUAGUAUGUAUACCUGACAGAAAAUACUAUAAAUUUGUGUGAUAAAUAAUUUACUCUGAUACCACUUGAUGAUUAAUAACACUCAUAAAAUAGAUGGCGAAAUGCUUGUCAGAGACUCGUAAUCACACGCAAUGAGAGAAAGAU